rnacentral:misc_RNA from 1 species
UGGUUCUGGCAUCGAUGAAGAACGCAGCGAAAUGCGAUAAGUAAUACGAAUUGCAGAAUUCAGCGAGUCAUCGAAUCUUUGAACGCACAUUGCGCCCGCUAGCAUUCUAGCAGGCAUGUCUGUCCGAGCGUCAUUUCACCCUUCAGGCUGUCUUCGGGCUGUCUGGUGUUGGGGCGCUGCAGCGAUGCUGCAGGCUCUGAAAUACGUCGGUGAGCCCGUCGAAGUUCCCUAGCGCAGUGAUGUUAAUUCUCGCUCAGGGCGCCCGGCUACGCUCUCCUUGCAUAUUCAGUAACAUACUUGACCUCGGAUCAGACAAGGCUACCCGCUGA